rnacentral:rRNA from 1 species
UACGAGAUGUGCGAGCGUUAUCCGGAUUUAUUGGGUUUAAAGGGUGCGUAGGUGGGGAAUUAAGUCAGUGGUGAAAGUUUGUCGCUCAACGAUAAAAUUGCCAUUGAAACUGGUUUCCUUGAGUAUGUUUGAGGUAGGCGGAAUGCGUGGUGUAGCGGUGAAAUGCAUAGAUAUCACGCAGAACUCCAAUUGCGAAGGCAGCUUACUAAACCAUAACUGACACUGAAGCACGAAAGCGUGGGUAUCAAACAGG